GGGGAUAUAGCUCAGUUGGUAGAGCACCUUUUUAGCACACAUGAGUCUCUGGGUUCAAUCCCCAGUAUUGCAC
rnacentral:tRNA from 1 species